AGAGUUUGAUCAUGGCUCAGAACGAACGCUGGCGGCGCGUUUUAAGCAUGCAAGUCGAGCGGCAAGGGUAGCAAUACCCCUAGAGCGGCGGACGGGUGAGUAACACGUGGACAACCUGCCCUUAGGCGAGGGAUAGCCCAGGGAAACCUGGAUUAAUACCUCAUAAGACCACUGAUAGGAGUAUGAGUGGGGAAAGGUGCUACGGCGCCGCCUGAGGAUGGAUCUGCGUCCCAUUAGCUAGAUGGUAGGGUAAAGGCCUACCAUGGCGACGAUGGGUAGCCGGCCUGAGAGGGUGAACGGCCACACUGGAACUGAGAGACGGUCCAGACUCCUACGGGAGGCAGCAGCUAAGAAUCUUCCGCAAUGGGCGCAAGCCUGACGGAGCGACGCCGCGUGAACGAUGAAGGCCGCAAGGUUGUAAAGUUCUUUUCGGGAAGGAGAAUAAGGGGAGCAGGCAAUGGCUUUCCGAUGCCGUGAAUCCCGGAAUAAGCCCCGGCUAACUACGUGCCAGCAGCCGCGGUAACACGUAGGGGGCGAGCGUUGUUCGGAAUCAUUGGGCGUAAAGGGCGCGCAGGCGGCGUAUAAAGUCUGGCGUGAAAGUCCCCGGCUCAACCGGGGGAUAGCGUUGGAAACUGGUAUGCUUGAGUACGAGAGGGGAUGGCGGAAUUCCAGGUGUAGGGGUGAAAUCUGUAGAUAUCUGGAGGAACACCGACGGCGAAGGCAGCCAUCUGGUUCAGUACUGACGCUGAGGCGCGAAGGUGCGGGGAGCAAACAGGUUUAGAUACCCUGGUAGUCCGCACAGUAAACGAUGUGCACCAGGUGUCGGGCAACAGUUGUUCGGUACCGAAGCAAACGCGAUAAGUGCGCCGCCUGGGGAGUAUGCCCGCAAGGGUGAAACUCAAAGGAAUUGACGG
rnacentral:rRNA from 1 species